UGUGGAACAAGGCACACAAAGCCAAUGAGAAGCUGCUUCCACUGGAUGCCCAAAGGGCUGCCAUGCCGAAUGGGUGCAGAGGAAGACUUGGCUAUAAGUCACAGGGGUGGGGCUGCUACGUACUGAACUGCUCCAGUGGAUUCCCGUGAGUGCUGGCAGGCCUCUGAAGCCGAUCACACCUGCACAGCCUUCCUUGGGCACACCCCAGCCUCACGGCCCAGAGGGAAUUGCCUAACUCAUCUGGCUGCAGUCAACAGAAACACUGGUGGCUCCUACCUCCCAGAGCGGUGGACGGACCAGCUGGUGGUGCCCACCCCGUGUGCAUUCUGGGAUACCAGCGGGGAGCAGAUCAGGCGAAGGUGCCAUCUCUGACUUCUGGGUGACCCAUCCUGGAGACUAAAAGAACCAGGUCCCACCGAGGCAAGUAGUCAAAUGUGGGAUUGUGACUGUACUUCCUCCUGGGACAUGCGGAUACAUUGAGGUUGCUGGCGUCUCUUCCCACUCAGGCACAUGUCUCCGGUGUGGUGGGAUUUUUAUGAAUGAGGGCAGGGAGAAGCAGGCAAAAUGCCACAUUGCCACACAUCGACAGCACUGUCAGAGUUACAUGCAGGGCAAUAGGGAUACAGCAAGUCGUUCAAACUGGAACUGGCACAUUCUCUACACUAUUCCUCUCAGCCUGGUCAAGGUGGCCAACUCAGGAGGCUCCAGAAGCUGGGUGACAGGGCUACGCCAGGGCACAGGAGUGUAGGAAGCCUAGAGCCAAGAUAAUGAAGUUAGCCCCUGCUCAAGAUACUCACAUUCCUGGUGUGACUUUUAAAGCUGUGAUGGAAAAGAUAGAACUAUGGGGACAUUAAAAAGCUCGGAGAGGUUUAGAAGAUGACUUUAUCAGUAAAGUACCUGCCACUCAAGCGUGAGGACAUGACUUGAAAUAAUCAAUAACCAUGUAAAAGCUGGUUGUCGUGGCACACAUCUGUAAUUCCAGCACUAGAGAGGAGUGGGAAGGGGACAGGCAGAUAGAUCCCGGGUAGGUGAGGGACAGACAGCCUACCCCAACUGAGGAGCUCGGAGUUCAGUGAAACAACCUGUUCCCCCCCCACCACACCAAAAAAUAUAAGGUGGUGACAUAUGCCUUUAAUUCCACAGGGAGGCAGAAACAGAGGCAGGUAGAUCUCUUUGUGAGUUCAAGGCCAACCUGGUCUACAUAGUGAGUUCCAUGCCAGCCAGGGCUACAUACUAAGAUCCAGUCUCAAAAAUUAAUUAAUUGGGAGAACAUGAUAGAAGAUGACACUCAACUCUGACCUCGACUUCUGGUUUUCUCACACACACACACACACACACACACACACACACACACACAUACACACACACACACACACACACACAUACACACACACACACACA